CCUCCUCCUGCAUUCCCUUCCCAGCCGCCUCCCCCUUUCCUCCAUUUUCCCAUUUCCUUUUUCAACAACACUUUCUCUCUUCACAUGUACAUAGCAAACCAACGGAAUCAUUGGCCAGAUAGCCCGGCGCCUUCUCUCUUUCCAAUAUUGUGAUAGGUAUUGAGUGGAACCUAGAAGAUUAUAAUGUAAUGUUGGGAGAAGCCACAGUUCGUCUAAAAGACGUUACAAAUAAAAAUUAGAUGAAAAUCCUUUCAAAUAUUUUUAAAAAAGUAUACAGGGUGCAUUUUAAUCUGUUGAAUACAAGUAAAUCAAACAUCAGUCUUGAUGCAAAGAGUAAAAUUACUUCAUCCUUGACCGCAGAAGAUCAUCUGGUGGCAACAUCUUCAAUCCCCAGAUCAAAUACUUAGGAACUUAGUUUUGUUUUGAUGUGGAACCCUUCAGAAUUUUAUAGAUUAUAGUUGAAUAAUCGAGUCUACUUUAGAUAGAUAUGUGUAUUUUAGAAUUAAUUUUUGAAACUUUUUGAUGUAAAUUUGUAUAAUAAAGUGAUAUUCAAAGUUUA